rnacentral:rRNA from 1 species
UGCGAGUCAUAUGUUCUUCGUGAACAUGGCGUACUGCUCAGUAACACGUGGAUAACCUGCCCUUGGGGCCGGGAUAACCCCGGGAAACUGGGGAUAAUACCGGAUAACGCAUAUCUGCUGGAAUGCUUUAUGCGUAAAAUGGAUUUGUCUGCCCAAGGAUGGGUCUGCGGCCUAUCAGGUAGUAGUGGGUGUAAUGUACCUACUAGCCUACGACGGGUACGGGUUGUGAGAGCAAGAGCCCGGAGAUGGAUUCUGAGACAUGAAUCCAGGCCCUACGGGGCGCAGCAGGCGCGAAAACUUUACAAUGCGGGAAACCGUGAUAAGGGGACACCGAGUGCCAGCAUCAUAUGUUGGCUGUCCAGAUGUGUAAAAUACAUCUGUUAGCAAGGGCCGGGCAAGACCGGUGCCAGCCGCCGCGGUAACACCGGCGGCCCGAGUGGUGAUCGUGAUUAUUGGGUCUAAAGGGUCCGUAGCCGGUUUGGUCAGUCCUCCGGGAAAUCUGACGGCUCAACCGUUAGGCUUUCGGUGGAUACUGCCAGACUUGGAACCGGGAGAGGUAAGAGGUACUACAGGGGUAGGAGUGAAAUCUUGUAAUCCCUGUGAGACCACCUGUGGCGAA